rnacentral:misc_RNA from 1 species
GAUGAAGAACGUAGCGAAAUGCGAUAAGUAAUGUGAAUUGCAGAAUUCAGUGAAUCAUCGAAUCUUUGAACGCACAUUGCGCCCCUUGGUAUUCCGAGGGGCAUGCCUGUUCGAGCGUCAUAUUAACCACUCCCGCUUGCGGGGUCUUGGGCUUCGCCUCCUGGCGGGCCUUAAAAUCAGUGGCGGUGCCGUCGGGCUCUACGCGUAGUAAAUUUUCUCGCGAUAGGGUCCCGGUGGAUGCUUGCCAACAACCCCCAACUUCUUAAGGUUGACCUCGGAUCAGGUAGGGAUACCCGCUGAACUUAAGCAUAUCAAUAAGCGGAGGA